rnacentral:lncRNA from 1 species
CGCCGGGGCCGCGGGCUAGGUAGAGAGGUCAGCGGCGAACCCAGGCCUAUCUCGUCAGGCCGCGCGCGAACCCUGCCGGCCUCCGUUCUCUUCCGCUUGUCUCAGGUGCAGCGCAGAUCCUUCCGCCGUAGCGUGCGCUCCCUGUAGCGCUGCGAUCAGCUUUUCGGCAAUACCCGGAUGGAAGUGUAAUGGCCGCCAUCAGGGACUCGCAGGCAAUGGGGACUACGACAGAUACCAUCUCUUCUUUUGAUCAUUGUUCCUGAUUGUGACAUUGUGCAAGUGUUAAAUUGUGUGCCUUUUGUUCCUGAAGAAAGAGCUGGUGCUAGCAACUCACUACCCUCUCUGGCCUCUGGACCUAGCUUGAAGUUCUGGAUUAUUUCCUUCUUCCUUGUACCUCAGCCUGAGCCUUCUGUCACCCAAAGGGCUCCAGCUGGUUUUUCACUCAGGCCUCAUUUUAUCUUCCAAGGUACGUUUAGGGGAAG